rnacentral:rRNA from 1 species
AUUGAACGCUGGCGGCAUGCCUUACACAUGCAAGUCGAACGGUAACAGGUCUUCGGAUGCUGGCGAGUGGCGAACGGGUGAGUAAUACAUCGGAACGUGCCCAGACGUGGGGGAUAACGAGGCGAAAGCUUUGCUAAUACCGCAUACGAUCUAAGGAUGAAAGCAGGGGACCGCAAGGCCUUGCGCGUUUGGAGCGGCCGAUGGCAGAUUAGGUAGUUGGUGGGAUAAAAGCUUACCAAGCCGACGAUCUGUAGCUGGUCUGAGAGGACGACCAGCCACACUGGGACUGAGACACGGCCCAGACUCCUACGGGAGGCAGCAGUGGGGAAUUUUGGACAAUGGGCGAAAGCCUGAUCCAGCAAUGCCGCGUGCAGGAUGAAGGCCUUCGGGUUGUAAACUGCUUUUGUACGGAACGAAAAGGCUCUGGCUAAUACCUGGGGCACAUGACGGUACCGGAAGAAUAAGCACCGGCUAACUACGUG